rnacentral:sRNA from 1 species
GCUGGGUGUAGUGGCACACGCCUGUAAUCCUAGCAACUUGGGAGGCUGAGGCAGGAGGAUCACAAGUUCAAAACCAGUCUCAAAAAUUAAGCAACUUAGUGAGACCCUAUCUCAA